rnacentral:rRNA from 1 species
CGAAAUUCCUUGUCGGGUAAGUUCCGACCCGCACGAAAGGCGUAACGAUUUGGGCGCUGUCUCGACGGUGGACUCGGUGAAAUCAUAGUACCUGUGAAGAUGCAGGUUACCCGCGACAGGACGGAAAGACCCCGUGGAGCUUUACUGCAGCUUGAUAUUGGACUUUGGUGCAGCAUGUACAGGAUAGGUAGGAGACUAAGAAUCUGGGACGCCAGUUUCAGAGGAGUCGACGUUGGGAUACUACCCUUGUUGUACUGAGGUUCUAACUAGCGUUUAAGAAACGAGACGUAGGACAGUGUCAGGUGGGCAGUUUGACUGGGGCGGUCGCCUCCUAAAGAGUAACGGAGGCGCCCAAAGGUUCCCUCAGAAUGGUUGGAAAUCAUUCGGAGAGCGCAAAGGCAGAAGGGAGCUUGACUGUGAGAGAGACAACUCGAGCAGGGACGAAAGUCGGGCUUAGUGAUCCGGCGGUGCCGAAUGGAAGGGCCGUCGCUCAACGGAUAAAAGCUACCCCGGGGAUAACAGGCUUAUCUCCCCCAAGAGUCCACAUCGACGGGGAGGUUUGGCACCUCGAUGUCGGCUCAUCGCAUCCUGGAGCUGAAGUAGGUUCCAAGGGUUGGGCUGUUCGCCCAUUAAAGCGGUACGCGAGCUGGGUUCAGAACGUCGUGAGACAGUUCGGUCCCUAUCCGUCGCGGGCGCAGGAAAUUUGAGAGGAGCUGUCCCUAGUACGAGAGGACCGGGAUGGACAUACCGCUGGUGUACCAGUUGUCUCGCCAGGGGCACGGCUGGGUAGCCAAGUAUGGAAGGGAUAAACGCUGAAAGCAUCUAAGCGUGAAGCCCCCCUCAAGAUGAGAUUUCCCAUUCUGAAAGGAAGUAAGAACCCUUGAAGAAGACGAGGUAGAUAGGCCAGAGGUGGAAGCGUGGUGACACGUGGAGCUGACUGGUACUAAUAGUUCGAGGGCUUAACCUA